UGUGGGAUCCUCCCGGACCGGGGCACGAACCCGUGUGCCCUGCAUCUGCAGGCGGACUCUCAACCACUGCGCCACCAGGGGAGCCCAUUUGAAUGGUGUUUAAGCAAAGGUCUAAAACGUCCCAUUGUGUGCCUGGCAACAGCCGGAUGGAUUUCUUUUUAGAAAUCCACUAGGAUCAGGAUGAAAAGCACCAAGUCUCUAAGGCAACCUUUCCUAAAAGCCUGAGUAAGAAGGAGUUGUGUGUGUGUGUGUGUUUGUGUGUUGGGGGGUGGGGAGAGGCAGGAGGCCAACCUUUUUUUGGGUGGAGCGAGCACUGGCCUGUGAGUCUGGAGCCCAGGGUUCUAACUGCAGCCUGACCCAGACUUGCUGUGCCAUCUAGGGGCAGCCCCCUCACCUCUCCGAGCCUCUCUUCCGUCCCUCGCUGUAAAACUGGGAAUUACUCGAGACAUCAGGGGUCUCUUCCAGCGCCAAGUCCCUGCAGCUGGUCCCAGGCCGGCUCCUGGGGAGCCCGGGGCCGGUGGGCCGGGCUGGCAUCAGAGCUCCCGGGAGGGCCCUACCUCCCUAGUCUAUGAGUAACAACUUGCAACCCGAGACCAGAGGGCGGUGGACGGGGUGGAGGGGGACCUACCUGGAGGCACAGGGAGGGGGCUGGAGGAAAGAAAUCGGGGGAAGCCCGGGUGAAGGGGAGGAAGGGGGGUUGAUUUUGCGGCAGGCACAGCCGCGCAGACGGAGGUGGGACCCGCGGAGCGCUGGGAGCUUUAGGGCCGACUCGCCAGCUGCCCUCGGAGGCGGCGGGGCUGGAAAAGCGAAGGCGGCGGCGCGCGCUUACCCGGUUGAUCUCGGCCAGCCUCCUCUCCUGCCGGGCUUUGAGCAAACCGAACGCUUUCCCUCCUGGAGGAGACAAAGAGGCGGCCGGGGAAGCGGGGGUCUCCCCGGGCCGCGCGCCCUCGGCUCGCGCCCGCUUCCCGCGCGCGGCAGACCCCACCGACCGCCCCGUGCGCACAGGUGGCGGGCGGGGGACACCGGGUGUGGGCAGGGGCGCGGGACAGCGUGGGGACAGCGGCACCUACCUUGGAACCUGUUGCUGAGCGCGACCGACAUGGAACCUCGACCAGUCCCUUCCCGCUCCGGGCCGCGGUUUCCCCUUAAACAGACCGUGGACGACCUUAGUACGCACUUCGUGGGAUGGCUAUAAAGAUCAAAUGCGGGUCCCAGCUGCCGGGAGCUGUAACGUGCCUUUCGCCUUUUGCGCAGCACGCACUUUUGGAAGGGAGGCCUAGGUUCCCAAACUUUAGUCUGAACUCUUGAAAGAUGAACAAACUUUUAGUUUCUUGAGAAAAUGCAUAAUGACAAAGUGCCUCUAGGGUAUCAGUGACACUUGAAAUCAAUUAGAACGAAUUAGUGUUUUGUUAAUAAAACCUUUUUUCUCGAGCGCUCACUGGGCACCAGGCACUUUGCCACAACCCAGGA